GGGGUCUUACAGAGUGCUGCUUCCUGCAUUUUCUGUACAAUGCUAUCAACAUUUCCUUGAUAAUCUGUCAAAGCAUUUCAUCACCACGUUCCCAACCUGUGCUGGCAAUCCACCCUGACCGUGCUGCUCGCGCCGCCUCUCCUACGACGUGGAGCUGGUUGUGCUGGGGAGCUUGGGCAGGCCCCUGCUGAGCGUGCCAAAGGUAGCAAUAAAGCUGGGUAACUUGCUGCAACAAGCAGAGAGAGGAUAUAGUAGAAAAGAAGAGUGCUGGGGAGGUUCAGCUGUGCCCAUCAGUAGCAUUUUGUAUUUCCUGAGCACGAGACUGGUACCAGAUCUACGGCCUGCCCAAAGACCAGGUAGGAGAUAAGGAGUGAGUGCAAAGGCUACAAAGCAGCAUCAGAUGCUGUAAGCCAGUGGAAUAGUCAGGUGUGGGUAUAUUGAAUGGAGA
rnacentral:lncRNA from 1 species